AGAAAUACUUAGGAAUCUACCUAGUAGUGGGGGAUAGCUCGGGGAAACUCGAAUUAAUACCGCAUACGACCUACGGGAGAAAGGGGGCAACUUGUUGCUCUCGCUAUUAGAUGAGCCUAAGUCGGAUUAGCUAGAUGGUGGGGUAAAGGCCUACCAUGGCGACGAUCUGUAGCUGGUCUGAGAGGAUGAUCAGCCACACCGGGACUGAGACACGGCCCGGACUCCUACGGGAGGCAGCAGUGGGGAAUAUUGGACAAUGGGGGAAACCCUGAUCCAGCCAUGCCGCGUGUGUGAAGAAGGCCUUUUGGUUGUAAAGCACUUUAAGCAGUGAAGAAGACUCUUCGGUUAAUACCCGGAGACGAUGACAUUAGCUGCAGAAUAAGCACCGGCUAACUCUGUGCCAGCAGCCGCGGUAAUACAGAGGGUGCAAGCGUUAAUCGGGAAUUACUGGAGCGUAAAGCGAGCGUAGGUGGCUUGAUAAGUCAGAUGUGAAAUCCCCGGGCUUAACCUGGGAACUGCAUCUGGAUACUGUCAGGCUAGAGUAGGUGGAGA
rnacentral:rRNA from 1 species